CCUACGGGAGGCAGCAGUAGGGAAUAUUGCUCAAUGGGGGAAACCCUGAAGCAGCAACGCCGCGUGGAGGAUGAAGGUUUUCGGAUUGUAAACUCCCUUUGUUAGAGAAGAUAAUGACGGUAUCUAACGAAUAAGCACCGGCUAACUCCGUGCCAGCAGCCGCGGUAAUACGGAGGGUGCAAGCGUUACUCGGAAGCACUGGGCGUAAAGAGCGCGUAGGCGGGAUAGCAAGUCAGAUGUGAAAUCCUAUGGCUUAACCAUAGAACUGCAUUUGAAACUGUUAUUCUAGAGUAUGGGAGAGGUAUGUGGAAUUCUUGGUGUAGGGGUAAAAUCCGUAGAGAUCAAGAGGAAUACUCAUUGCGAAGGCGACCUGCUAGAACAUAACUGACGCUGAUGCGCGAAAGCGUGGGGAGCGAACAGGAUUAGAUACCCGGGUAGUC
rnacentral:rRNA from 1 species